rnacentral:lncRNA from 1 species
GGUAAACUAACUAGUUGGGUGAGGUCUAAACUAACAGGUAGUGUGAAGUCUCAGGUAAACUAACAGGUAGUGUGAGGUCUAAACUAACAGGUAGUGUGAAGUCUCAGGUAAAUUAACUGGUAGGGUGAGGUCUAAACUAACUGGUAGGGUGAGGUCUAAACUAACUGGUAGGGUGAGGUCUAAACUAACAGGUAGUGUGAGGUCUAAACUAACUGGUAGGGUGAAGUCUCAGGUAAAUGAACUGGUAGGGUGAGGUCUAAACUAACUGGUAGGGUGAGGUCUAAACUAACUGGUAGGGUGAGGUCUAAACUAACAGGUCGUGUGAAGUCUCAGGUAAACUAACUGGUAGUGUGAGGUCUAAACUAACUGGUAGGGUGAGGUCUAAACUAACUGGUAGGGUGAGGUCUAAACUAACUGGUAGGGUGAGGUCUAAACUAACUGGUAGGGUGAGGUCGAAACUAACUGGUAGGGUGAAGUCUCAGGUAAACUAACUGGUAGGGUGAGGUCUAAAC